UAUACCCGACGAUAUCCGAAUGGGGAAACCCAGUAUCCAAUGGAUACUAUCAUUAACUGAAUCCAUAGGUUAAUGAGGCGAACCGGGAGAACUGAAACAUCUCAGUACCCCGAGGAAAAGAAAUCAACCGAGAUUCCCCUAGUAGCGGCGAGCGAACGGGGAGCAGCCCAGAGUCUUAAUCAAUAGCAGUGUCAGGAGAACGGUCUGGAAAGUCCGGCAGUAAAGGGUGAUAGCCCCGUAUCUGAAGAUGCUGUU
rnacentral:rRNA from 1 species